rnacentral:Y_RNA from 1 species
GGCUGGUGCCAUGGUAGUGGGCUAUCAGGACUUACUCACAUUAGUGUCGCUGAAGUUGGUGUUCAAACCCCCACUGCUAAAUUUGACUGGCUUUAA